ensembl:lncRNA
AAAAAACUGAAAACAAGCAGUUCUGUGAUUCACCACCUGUGUAUGAGCCAGAGACAGUUCCCUGCCACUCAGAUGAUUCAGCUGUUAGAUUGUCAGUUGAUCAGGCGAUAGCUGAUCAUUCACAUACACCCAUGUUUUUUGGCUGAUGAAAGCUUGAUGUGUGUAUUUCAUCAAAAUAACAGGUAUGUAGGCAUUUACCUUUUGGAAUUAGUUCAGGAUUAUUAAAAUAACUUUCAGACAAUUCGCUGCAACCAGAAGCCAAACCUUUAAGCAAGAUGAGUCAAAUCCACUGAGGAUUCACAUGUGGGUCUGGAGGUGAACAAAAGGGUAAUGAGGAGUACUAAAUUCGUCUUUCAUUAUGAACUUGCACCUCUCAGCUAUUUCUUUGUAUAUUCUUGUCUCAUGCAUUUUUCUUCACACUUCACUUCCCCUGUCCUAUUCUACCUCGUUACUUCUUUAUCUCCUUUCUUUCUUUUCCUACCCUUUUAUUUUGUCUGUCUCAUUCCAUCUCUCUAUUCACAUAACCUCCGUCUCGUCAUUGUCCCUCACACUCUAGCCCUCCGGAAAAAAGAAAAUGGGAAAACGGCAAAUCCCACAGCCUCUUACGGCACCCGUGUUUACCAACCCAUAAUGCCGUUCUCAAAUUUCUUUAGCUCCCAAUAUCGUUCCUUGUGUGUAUGUACCCCAACUGCACCACCGCCCUCCACCUUUCCUUUAUUGCCCAACAAAGGCAGCAAAUGCUGUAUUUUCAGCGGCAAAACCUCCUGCAAUGUUACCCCCACACCCACCACUGCUGAUUGUUAUAGUGGUAUAUAUACUGAACCAUCAAACUGUUUACUGCUGCAAACCUGGAGACUAAGAGGGGAGACUGCCAAAAGCUAUGCACACAUAAGUUGAGAGAGUGAAAGAGAGACGGCAUCAACACAACCACUGACUCAAGAUUAGGCCUCGCUCCGAGCUGUUAAGGAUUUCAACAUGCACCUUCUUUUAGCUUAAUAAGGGCUGGAGGGGUUAGGUGAGGGUGGCAGCGUGAAAGAAAGCGCAAAAUGAAAAGUGCAUAAUAAUGCAUGUAUUCAUCUUUUAAAGAAGUGCGUGGAAAGUAAUGGAUGUCACCGCUGGGUACAUCAUUGACACCUUGCCAAUGCUGGAUGGAUAAUUGAAGUCUGGGGUUUUUCAAAAGGGAUGCGAAGAGGGGAAAGUUAUAAUACCCAGGUGGAAUGAAAGGAUGUGUUCUGUAUGCCAAAACACUGUGCUUACGGUCUCUUUAGGAGCUGAGCACACACAUUAGACAAUGGUAUUUUGCUGUUUUUUUCCCGACUUCACUCAUACAGACAGACAUGCAAUGCAGAUACAAGAGAUAUGAUAAAGGAGAAAGCACCUAUUUGAUGUCAGAAACAAACAGUGCAGUCAACUUGGGCUAAGAACCGUUUUCACAGUAUAAGUAAGUUCACACAAUUUACAGAUACUGUUGAAGGCUGACCGUCAUUCUGCUAUACAUUAGUUGUAGAGAGGCUAGUAGUUUGCUUGGUGAGUGGACCGACAGAAGCACAAGGGGUUCAAAGGAAGCCGUACACAGACAUAGAGGAUCUGACUAAUGUGCACACUAUGCAUGAUUUGUGGGCAUGCACGAAUGUCAUCUUCAACCAGAAGAGUGAAGCAUGCAACGCUGUGUGUUGGGGAGAGGAUAGACAUUUGCUCUGCUCCGAUUCAGCUUGAGCUGUUUACAGAGGACACAAGUUCUUUGUCUUUUUCAACUGUAUUUCUGACAAUAGUGUUCAACGCCCUGUCAAAACAAUAUAGUGGUAGAAGUACUCAAAAUAGUGAGUUGGUCCUCGAGAAUGAGGAAGGCAGUGACACCACUUGUCAACAGGUAUGUCAUGAACUUACAUGGUAAAUGUAAGCAGAGUUUAAGAACGAGUGUGUUCAAACCAGAAAAUAAGGACAACAAACUUGAUGUCAGCAUGCAGACAAAGAAAUUGUGUGCUCUUGAUGGAUACUACUCCCCCACAAUGCAAUACAUUGAAAACAUAAUUGUUGCUGGUGAAAAAGCCCAGGGGAAAAAUAAAUAAUACAAAAUUAAAGCUUAAAGGCUGGCGCAUGCUUCUGCGUUGUUGCGUCAACGCACUCGUUUCAAUUCAUGGUUCUAAAGUCUUGUUUUUGUUGAAGACGACCUAGAGCGUCAGGUCUUAGUGUGUGGAAGUCGUUCAUAGACUUUAUUGCCCCGUGCAUCGCCACUGCUGCUUUUCAUCGCGGACACAUUUGUCCCGUAUUUUCCUCCACAACUUUGUUCCCCUCGACCGGCAAACAGACGUUUGAAGGGAAAUCUCCGUUCAUGAAUCAGAGGCCAUCCGCGCGUCCUUAUAGUACGCCAAUGAAGGCUUGUAUAAGCGGUCAAAUUUACGCAUUUCUUCCGACAAAAGUUCUUCAAUCUGAUCCGUUCUCUCGUAAACAUUCUUCGUUUUAAUAAUGGCGGUAUUGGGCUAUGAAAACGGAAAUGUGAGACUCCGUAAAGGAUGUAGUUAGCAGACCAAUGGCAGCCUUGUGCGCUGCGGGCGGCUUGCAUCGCUUUCGACGCAAGCCUAAAAAAAUGGGUCAACGCACGCAAGCACGCAAAGAGGUGUGAAAAGGCACGCAAGGGACACGCAAGGGGCUCUUCCGUAAAGCAUAAACUAGGCUUUAAGCAGAAGUUGUCGGGCCCGCUAGCCCGCUGCCAUGCAUUUCUGUGGCCAUCAGACGCCGCUUGCACAAGUUCACAUGGUAUUUUCCUGUGUGUACCAGCAUCUUGUCAGAUCAUAAACCUUCAAUAUUUUGAAUGUAUCUCGGAAUAUAGUUAUAAAUGUAAGCCGGUAAAGAUCGACAAAAGACGGUGAGUGAUUCAUAGCCGAAAAAGUCUUGGAAAUUAGUGGACUGUAUGCGUAUAUCCAUGUGAAAAAAGCAAAUAAAAAACGUUUGUAGAAAUACAUUUAAACCUGUUGUAUAAUAAAUAAUAUAAAUGUUACCGGGUGACGCUUAAGUGUAUUUUACUCAUUUUGAAUAAUUAUUUAACAAAUUUUCUGUUUUCUGAUUUUCUGUUUGCCAUUUUGAGCAUUAACCCAAUUUAAUUUAUAGUUCACCUAUGUAUGCUUUAUUAAUCCCCGUGGGGAGAUUAAUUUAAACAGUCAAAUGCAGAUAUAAAAGAUAAUCAAAAAUUGCUGAAAAUGCAUAAAUUAGAAAAAUUGAAAUUUAUUUUUAUAUAUUGCUGAAAAUACAGAAAUAAAAAAGCUGGAAUUAAUUUUUAAAAACUGCUGAAGAUUUGGAAAUGAGAAAAGUUCAAAUAAAUUUCAAAAGAGUUUAAAAAAUGUACACCCUUUGCUUACUUUGAGAAAUAUGUCAGAAGAUUUGCAUUGGUCUCUACGGACCAAUAUUUGGACAUUGUUUUUCUUGUUGUUCUGUGGCUCAAAGCAAACAUCUGUGGGAUUCCAUAGCCACAUGACUACGACUAGCACAGGCAUCCAUUGUUUUAUCCAAAAAUGAUGUAUGAAGAGUGAAUAUUGUGGCAAUGGUAAAUUAACUCUACAGCGCUUUUCUAGUCUCCCGACCACCACUCAACGUGCUUUAACACUACAUGACACAUCACUCACCCAUUCACCCACUGAUAACAGGAGAACCAUACACAGUGCCACCUGCCCAUCGAUAACUAACAUUCACACAGGAGCAAUAUUGGGUUAAGUGUCUUGCCCAAGGACACAUUGACAUGCAGGUUAGCUGGGCCUGGGAUCGAACCACCAAGCAUUUGAUUGGAGGGCGACAGUGCUCCACAGCCGCCCUUGUAGGCAAUGAGAACAAACUAGAAAUAUUUUUUCGGUUGGUUAGGUUAAUAUUUUUAACCACAUUCUGACAGUGCUCUCCCCUUUUUAGCUCUUCAGUAUUCACUCUAACCGGCCCCAUAAAUAUCUAUCGUCAAACCGCUUAUCCUGCACAGAGGGUCGUGGGGUGGCUGGAGUCUAUCCCAGCCAACUUCGGGCGAGAGACGGCAUACGCCCUGGACUGGUCGCCAGGGCAAACACAGAGACAUACAACCAUUCACACUCAAACACCUACAGGCAAUUUAGAUUCACAAAUCAAUCUGAUCCCGAGUGCAUGUUACCGUGACCAACAAGACGAGAGAAACUUUGUGAUCAACCAAUGCUUAAUCGAUCGCAUUGCAGUUAAAAAAAAUGUAUUAUCAGCAAAGUCAAUGUUAGGAGGUUAGCAACAUGCUAAGGCUAAAUAUAUGUGAGGGGUGGGACCUUAGGACCUGGGAGCCUCAGCAUAGAGCGGGAGGCUUAAACUCAAGGAGAGCCUCUCCAUAUAAAGGAGAUCCCGUGAGAGUUGAGGAACUCACGUUUAUUCUCGUUGUCCGGCAUGUGCUGAAGUCUGGGUUGCUUUGUUUGUUGCUCGCCAGUACCGUGCGGGUGAGCAAACUGUACUAAGGAGAAGGUCAGACCUGAACCAGACCUGGUGAGCCCAGGGUCCUACCUGCUGGUGCACAGGUGCAUUGGGCCAAGGAGGCUGAACUGGUGACACGCAGUGGUCAGCAGGACAGCCACUGCUCUUUUUCUCAGACCAUAGUUUUAGUUUAGAUUGUGCUCCAGUGCCUCCAUCUUGCUCCCUCUAUUUAUAGAAAUAACACACUGAUAUUGUGCCCUUUUGAUGACCGUUGCUUCCCCCUUCCCCACUUCUAUUGUGUUGUGUCUUUUAACCAGGAUCAGUAAUCGUAUUUGAGUGUGUUGGUUUGUAAUGUUGCUUAUUUUAGCCUUUCUUAACAGUGUGCAGUGUUUUUAUUGUUGGAAGUGUCAUUGUGCCCCCGGUCAAUCACUACUGGUAUAAAUUAUUUGGAUGUGGUUUUAUAAAGUUAUUGUUUAAAUAAAAGUGAUAUUGCAUUGUACACGCAGAAGCCUCUGUCUGUCUAUGAUCUACCUCGUAUGGGGUUUUGGCCAAUAAGAUAAUUGAAUUCAGGGUCUCUCCCCUCCAAAGAGAGUGGCGUUGUCACGUCUGGAUACUAUUCCCAAAGUAUUUUAAGUGUCCAUUAGGUCACAUAUAAAUCUCAGGCUAAAGUCGGCAUCUUAUUGUUAAAAAUAAAUGUCCGUCUGUACGAAUAAAGGCAAGCCGCACGAACAUGUUUGAUCCGCCGUGUUUGGAUGUCAAUGUAG